rnacentral:rRNA from 1 species
GAUGAACGCUGGCGGCGUGCCUAAUACAUGCAAGUCGAGCGAACGGACGAGAAGCUUGCUUCUCUGAUGUUAGCGGCGGACGGGUGAGUAACACGUGGAUAACCUACCUAUAAGACUGGGAUAACUUCGGGAAACCGUAGCUAAUACCGGAUAAUAUUUUGAACCGCAUGGUUCAAAAGUGAAAGACGGUCUUGCUGUCACUUAUAGAUGGAUCCGCGCUGCAUUAGCUAGUUGGUAAGGUAACGGCUUACCAAGGCAACGAUGCAUAGCCGACCUGAGAGGGUGAUCGGCCACACUGGAACUGAGACACGGUCCAGACUCCUACGGGAGGCAGCAGUAGGGAAUCUUGCGCAAUGGGCGAAAGCCUGACGGAGCAAUGCCGCGUGAAUGAUAAAGGUCUUCGGAUCGUAAAACUCUGUUAUUAGGGAAGAACAUAUGUGUAAGUAACUGUGCACAGCUUGACGGUACCUAAUCAGAAAGCAACGGCUAACUACGUG